CAGCCGCCGCGGUAGUACGUAGGUGGCAAGCGUUGUCCGGAAUUAUUGGGCGUAAAGGGCUCGCAGGCGGUUUCUUAAGUCUGAUGUGAAAGCCCCCGGCUCAACCGGGGAGGGUCAUUGGAAACUGGGAAACUUGAGUGCAGAAGAGGAGAGUGGAAUUCCACGUGUAGCGGUGAAAUGCGUAGAGAUGUGGAGGAACACCAGUGGCGAAGGCGACUCUCUGGUCUGUAACUGACGCUGAGGAGCGAAAGCGUGGGGAGCGAACAGGAUUAGAGACCCCUGUAGUCCCUGUCUCUUAUAC
rnacentral:rRNA from 1 species